rnacentral:rRNA from 1 species
UGCAGUCGAGCGAAUGGAUUGAGAGCUUGCUCUUAUGAAGUUAGCGGCGGACGGGUGAGUAACACGUGGGUAACCUGCCCAUAAGACUGGGAUAACUCCGGGAAACCGGGGCUAAUACCGGAUAACAUUUUGAACUGCAUGGUUCGAAAUUGAAAGGCGGCUUCGGCUGUCACUUAUGGAUGGACCCGCGUCGCAUUAGCUAGUUGGUGAGGUAACGGCUCACCAAGGCAACGAUGCGUAGCCGACCUGAGAGGGUGAUCGGCCACACUGGGACUGAGACACGGCCCAGACUCCUACGGGAGGCAGCAGUAGGGAAUCUUCCGCAAUGGACGAAAGUCUGACGGAGCAACGCCGCGUGAGUGAUGAAGGCUUUCGGGUCGUAAAACUCUGUUGUUAGGGAAGAACAAGUGCUAGUUGAAUAAGCUGGCACCUUGACGGUACCUAACCAGAAAGCCACGGCUAACUACGUGCCAGCAGCCGCGGUAAUACGUAGGUGGCAAGCGUUAUCCGGAAUUAUUGGGCGUAAAGCGCGCGCAGGUGGUUUCUUAAGUCUGAUGUGAAAGCCCACGGCUCAACCGUGGAGGGUCAUUGGAAACUGGGAGACUUGAGUGCAGAAGAGGAAAGUGGAAUUCCAUGUGUAGCGGUGAAAUGCGUAGAGAUAUGGAGGAACACCAGUGGCGAAGGCGACUUUCUGGUCUGU